ACGGAAGGCAGCAGUGGGGAAUAUUGCACAAUGGGGGAAACCCUGAUGCAGCGACGCCGCGUGAGUGAAGAAGUAUUUCGGUAUGUAAAGCUCUAUCAGCAGGGAAGAAACAGGACGGUACCUGCAUAAGAAGCCCCGGCUAACUACGUGCCAGCAGCCGCGGUAAUACGUAGGGGGCAAGCGUUAUCCGGAUUUACUGGGUGUAAAGGGAGCGUAGACGGCUGAGCAAGUCUGAAGUGAAAGGCGGGGGCUCAACUCCCGGACUGCUUUGGAAACUGUUCAGCUUGAGUACCGGAGGGGUAAGCGGAAUUCCUAGUGUAGCGGUGAAAUGCGUAGAUAUUAGGAAGAACACCGGUGGCGAAGGCGGCUUACUGGACGGUAACUGACGUUGAGGCUCGAAAGCGUGGGGAGCAAACAGGAUUAGAUACCCUGGUA
rnacentral:rRNA from 1 species